rnacentral:lncRNA from 1 species
AGACAGAGGUGUGCCCCAGCUCCAUUCCCCAGAUCAUCCAUUUCGUCCUCUUCCUUGUGUUCAGCCUGGUGAUCCUGAUCAUCUUACGCCCCUACAUUCCCAGGGAGCCGUCCUCAGUGCCUCCCAGAGAGGAGGACAGCGAGAAUGAUCAAGCUGAAGUGGGGGAAUGGCUCAGGAUCGGAAAUAAAUAUAUCACUUUGAAAGGAGGUGGUCGUGACCCCCAUGAUGGGGCGUGUCGGGAGGCACUCUAUAAAUGAGAAAACGCUGCCCACCGGGCACCUGGCUAUCACUCCUGGGGCCCUGUGGCCUUGGACAGGGAUGCUGGGGCUCCAGGGUC